rnacentral:rRNA from 1 species
GACGAACGCUGGCGGCGUGCUUAACACAUGCAAGUCGAACGGAAAGGCCCUGCGUUUGUGGGGUUCUCGAGUGGCGAACGGGUGAGUAACACGUGUGUAACCUGCCCUUGACUUUGGGAUAACUUCUGGAAACUGGGGCUAAUACCGGAGAGGAGCUCCUGCUGCACGGUGGGGGUUGGAAAGUUUCGGCUGUGGUGGAUGGUCUCGCGGGUUAUCAGCUAGUUGGGGGGGUAGUGGCUUACCAAGCGUUUGACGGGUAGCCGGCGUGGGAGCGGAGACGGGGACAAUAGGCCUACGGGAGGCAGCAGUAGGGAACGGGAGGCAGCAGUCGGAAACCUUGCGCAGUGGGGCGGAGCCUGUGACGAAGACCUUGGGUGCGGGAUGACGGCUUUCGGGUUGUAAACAGAUUUGGCAGGAGACGUAGCGUGAGUGACGGUAAUGGGUAAAGAAGCACCGGCUAACUACGUG